ACGAGUGGCGCAAUUUGAGUAAUGUCUGGGAAACUGCCUGAUGGAGGGGGAUAACUACUGGAAACGGUAGCUCAUACCGCAUAAUGUCGCAAGACCAAAGAGGGGGACCUUCGGGCCUCUUGCCAUCACAUGUGCCCCCAUGGGAUUAGCUAGUAUGUGGGGUAACGGCUCACCUAGGCGACGAUCCCUAGCUGGUCUGAGAGGAUGACCCGCCACACUGGAACUGAGACACGGUCCCCACUCCUACGGGAGGCAGCAGUGGGGAAUAUUGCACAAUGGGCGCAAGCCUGAUGCCCCCAUGCCGCGUGAAUGAAGAAGGCCUUCGGGUUGUAAAGUACUUUCAGCGGGGAGGAAGGUGUUGUGGUUAAUAACCNCAGCUUUUGACGUUACCCGNNNAAGAAGCACCGGCUAACUCCGUGCCACCAGCCGCGGUAAUACGGAGGGUGCAAGCGUUAAUCGGAAUUACUGGGCGUAAAGCGCACCCAGGCGGCCUGUCANGUCGGAUGUGAAAUCCCCGGGCUCAACCUGGGAACUGCAUUCGAAACUGGCAGGCUGGAGUCUUGUAGAGGGGGGUAGAAUUCCACGUGUAGCGGUGAAAUGCGUAGAGAUCUCGAGGAAUACCGGUGGCGAAUGCGGCCCCCUCGACAAAGACUGACGCUCACGUGCGAAAGCGUGGGGAGCAAACAGGANUAGAUACCCUCGUAGCCACGCCGNAACNAUGUCGAUUCGGAGGUUGUGCCUUGAGGCGUGGCUUCCGGAGCUAANCGUUAAUCGACCGCCNGGGGAGUACNGCCGCAAGGUUAAACUCAAAUGAUUGACGGGGGCCGCCCACCGGUGGAGCAUGCGUUUAAUCU
rnacentral:rRNA from 1 species